AAGUCGUAACAAGGUAACCGUAGGUGAACCUGCGGUUGGAUCAUUAAUAAAUCUAGAAGGUCUUCAAGACCUCUCUAACAUCUUGUGAACUGUUCAUGUCUCUGGCAGGCUUUCGGGCCUGCCGAUUAAACUUUGUAUUUUUAAAAGUCUAAAAAAAAUUAAAAAAGUAAUUAAAACAACUUUUGACAACGGAUCUCUAGGCUCUC
rnacentral:misc_RNA from 1 species